CAAUCCAUGAGUACAGUGGCGCACGGGUGAGUAACACGUGACUAACCUACCCUGGAGUGGGGGGUAACUGAGGGAAACCUUAGUUAAUACCGCAUAAUACCUACGGGUCAAAGGAGCAAUUCGCUUCAGGAGGGGGUCGCGGCCGAUUAGUUAGUUGGCGGGGUAAUGGCCCACCAAGACAGUGAUCGGUAUCCGGCCUGAGAGGGCGCACGGACACACUGGAACUGAAACACGGUCCAG
rnacentral:rRNA from 1 species